rnacentral:rRNA from 1 species
UACGUAGGGCGCAAGCGUUAUCCGGAAUUAUUGGGCGUAAAGGGCUCGUAGGCGGUUUGUCGCGUCGGGAGUGAAAACCUCGGGCUUAACUCGGGGCUUGCUUUCGAUACGGGCAGACUGGAGGUAUGCAGGGGAGAACGGAAUUCCUGGUGUAGCGGUGAAAUGCGCAGAUAUCAGGAAGAACACCUAUGGCGAAGGCAGCUCUCUGGGACGGUACUGACGCUGAGACGCGAAAGCGUGGGGAGCGAACAGG